GCUUUGUGACACCCCAGUGGUGGCUUCUGGAGGCCAACAUUUCGGCGCCCAACGGCUCUCAGCCGGAGACGGAGCCGUGCGGCGAUGGUUGGACCUACGACCGCAGCGUCUUCACCAGCACCAUCAUCACUGAGGUGGGACGGGGAGGGGAGAGGUUUGGGGGGGUCUGGUGGGAUUUUCACCCAAUUCCAUGGGUGGGUCCCACCUAGAGGCACCAACGAAGGGUCUGCUGCCAACACAACACUGACCUCUCCGAGCUGGAGCAACUUCUCCGCUCACCCUCCAGUGGAGAUGCUCAGGAAGCCCCAGGAGGGGAAGGAAGGGAUGGAGAAUUGGUGGCCAUCAACAAGGAGGUCACAAGAGGGUCACAAGGGAGUCACAAGGGGUCACAAGGGGGUCACAAGGGGUCACAAGGGGGUCACAGGGUCCUUGCAUGGACCUUCCAGCCAUGGUGAUGAUGGGAAGGGUGGCCAAGCAUUCAGUGUCACCUCUCCAUUGGCCACUCAUUGACCUUACCGGCCACCAUGGGUGAUUUUGGGGUUCGGGAGGCCAGAGGGGACCCUGAUCUCUGUCCCACGCCGUGUCCUUGUCCCUCGGCAGUGGGACCUGGUGUGCAGCUCCCGGGGGCUCAGGCAGCUGGCGCAGUCACUCUACAUGGCUGGAGUCCUGGUGGGCGGCGUCUUCGGGGGGCUCUCGGACAGGUUUGGCCGCCGCUUGGUGCUCACCUGGUGCUACCUGCAGAUGGCCGCCAUGGGCACCUGCUCGUCCUUCGCGCCCACCUUCACCGUCUACUGCCUGUUCCGCUUCCUGACGGGCAUGGCCUUCUCGGGCAUCGUCCUCAACAGCGUCUCCCUCUCGCUGGAGUGGAUGCCGACACACAUGCGGGCACUGGUGGGGACCUUCAUGGGGUACUGCUACACCGCCGGGCAGUUCCUGCUGGCCGGCGUCGCCUUCGCCAUCCCUGACUGGCGCCAGCUGCAGCUCGCGGUGUCCCUGCCCUUCUUCGGCUUCUUCCUCUACUCCUGGUGAGGAGGAGGAAGGGUGAGGGAUGGAGGAAUGGAGGGAUGGAGGGAUGGAUGAUGGAUGGAUGAUGGAUGGAUGGAUGAAUGAUGGAUGAUGGAUGGAUGAUGGAUGAUGGAUGAUGGGUGAGGGAUGGAGGAAUGGAGGGAUGGAGGGAUGGAUGAUGGAUGGAUGAUGGAUGGAUGGAUGAUGGAUGAUGGAUGGAUGAUGGAUGGAUGGAUGAUGGAUGGAUGGAUGAUGGAUGAUG
rnacentral:lncRNA from 1 species